rnacentral:rRNA from 1 species
GUCUGUAUGAUUGUUAUAUAGAGUCUGGCCUGCCCACUGAUUUAAGUUGAAGGGCCGCGGUAUUUUGACCGUGCGAAGGUAGCAUAAUCAUUAGUCUUUUAAUUGGAGGCUUGUAUGAAUGGUUGGACAAAAAGCAAACUGUCUCGAUUAUAUUAAUUGAAUUUAACUUUUAAGUGAAAAGGCUUAAAUAAACUAGGGGGACGAUAAGACCCUAUAAAGCUUUACAAUUAUUUAAUUAAAUUAUAAAUUGUUAGUAUAACUUAAUUUAAUUAAUAUUUGUUUCGUUGGGGCGACGAGAAUAUAAUUUUAAGUAACUGUUCUUUUGUGGUUAAUUACAGAUUUAUUUGGGUAAAAAUUGAUCCUUUAUUAGAGAUUAAAAGAUUAAGUUACUUUAGGGAUAACAGCGUAAUCUUCUUUGAGAGUUCAUAUCGACAAGAAGGGUUGCGACCUCGAUGUUGAAUUAAAGUAUCCUUGUGGUGUAGCAGUUACAGAGGAAGGUCUGUUCGACCUUUAAUUCUUU